rnacentral:rRNA from 1 species
AUGGGAACGCGAAGAACCUUACCUAGACUUGACAUCUCCUGAAUAGUGUAGAGAUACAUGAAGCCCUUCGGGGCAGGAAGACAGGUGGUGCAUGGUUGUCGUCAGCUCGUGUCGUGAGAUGUUGGGUUAAGUCCCGCAACGAGCGCAACCCUUAUCAUUAGUUGCUACCAUUUAGUUGAGCACUCUAGUGAGACUGCCCGGGUUAACCGGGAGGAAGGCGGGGAUGACGUCAAAUCAUCAUGCCCCUUAUGUCUAGGGCUACACACGUGCUACAAUGGUGAGAACAACGAGAUGCAAUACCGCGAGGUGGAGCAAAACUUCAAAACUCAUCUCAGUUCGGAUUGUAGGCUGAAACUCGCCUACAUGAAGUUGGAGUUGCUAGUAAUCGCGAAUCAGAAUGUCGCGGUGAAUACGUUCCCGGGUCUUGUACACACCG